UACGUAGGGGGCAAGCGUUAUCCGGAUUUACUGGGUGUAAAGGGAGCGUAGACGGCAAUGCAAGUCUGGAGUGAAAGGCGGGGGCCCAACCCCCGGACUGCUCUGGAAACUGUAUAGCUGGAGUGCAGGAGAGGUAAGUGGAAUUCCUAGUGUAGCGGUGAAAUGCGUAGAUAUUAGGAGGAACACCAGUGGCGAAGGCGGCUUACUGGACUGUAACUGACGUUGAGGCUCGAAAGCGUGGGGAGCAAACAGG
rnacentral:rRNA from 1 species